rnacentral:lncRNA from 1 species
GAACACAAGUUCAACAACUAUACCACCAAUACUGAUCUUCCCCACUCGCCACUCGUCAGCGAGACAAUGAGGAUCCAGUGCACUGCUCUUUGCAUUGUCCUAAUGAUAUGUCUUCAAACCUCUCAUCCUGCUAUCGUGGUAAGUAUAUAAUUUCUUUUGUACUUACAACAAUUCAACCCAUACGUGGUUUAUAAACUCCAAUUGUGGAUUCAUGCAGUUAUCGUAGUUAAUUAUCAUUUAUAUGGAUGCACUGAAGCGCGUUGCCAAACAAAAUGCUUGCAGUAUGCCAAUAAGUAUAACCAAGCGGUAAAGAGCUUCCAAUGUGUCAAGGCAGAUCUUUGCCACUGUGAGUGUUUUAACAAGCAGCAUCUGCCGUGUCACCAAAGUCAUGGGAUUAGUUGACGCAGAGGACGAUAAAAAUGAACUUUUUUUUGAAUAUAAUAUAUAGGAUUAAAACUGUCACCAACUAUGGAUAUGGAGGUUACAUGGAGGCAGACAAUGCCAUAUUGCUAGCCAUUGUAUGUGCUUUAUCCGUGACUUGUUUCCAUACAAUUAUAAUAAAAGUGAUUGCGCAUCUUUCCUAUACUUUUGUUUCACUCAAUGUAUUGGAUCCACUGUUUUGGUUACAACUAAGAUGCUAUUUGGAAGGUCAGUCUUAGAACCAAAAACCCUUGUAAAAUACAGGUCCAGAACAUUUUACAUCUGCCAUUGAAAAAAUGUGUUUGGAUAGAAGGUAAUACAACAUAAAUUACUACUGGUUUAGACAAAAACACCCAGAAAGGAAAAAGUCUUGUUCCAUGGUGACAAUUUUUUUUUGACCAAUGUCAGGCUCAGCCGCUGAUGAUUUGAUUGCUUCUCCUUCUUCCUCGGGCUGUAGGGCAAUCCGUUUUCAUUGGCACUAGCCUAACCGCUCUCCGAUGCCAUCCUACUUCGUCACCACCAGCCUCUCCCUCCCCCCCUCCUCCGCUUCUGACAAUCGCCCUGCUCUCCCUAUCUCCUCCACCGCCGCCAGUCGCCGGACUCUUCGAUGUUGACGCAGCUGCAGCUUACACUUGGUGGAUAUGCACCAGGAGAACAGCGCGAUCAGUAUGGCUGGGACUCAAUCUUGUUAAUUUCUGGGGAACUCAAUUGUUUAUUUACCAAACUGACAUCAAUUUCUCAGUACUAGGCGAUCAUCAUCUCCUUUUCCAGAAUAUAGUCCACUACUUACCAGAAGGUUGAAGCACCUCUAUCACAGGCAGAAAUUGAUACACGGUUUCUAGUGCACAAGGAAAGACAGGUGUAAAAAAGUUCAGCUCUAAAAAGAUUGCUAGGUUGCAAAACAGGCCCUCUCUGUCAUGGCCUGACUGCCAUGGCUCUAAUGCCUCUGUAAAUAGUUGCAUAAAAAACAAUUCAUAACUUUUCAAUAAACUCGGAUGAAGAAAACUUUAUAUCAAAAUUAUAGCCCUCGAUGCGGCUUUUGUAAUAAAAACUGUUUGAAUUGAAACCUUUUUGGGUCCCAAAAUAUUAUUGUAAGUUAAAGAUUUUGAAAGCUAAAAUUGAAAAUUACCAAACAAUCUUGGAUGUUGAUAUGAUCUAUAUGAAAGUUAUAGCUCUCAAUAGAAUCUACGACUUUGUAGUUCAAAGUUCUCUAUUUCAAGUUGUUUAGAGUCCCAAAUAUGUGUUGCAAAUUUAUAGAUUUUGCAAUUAAAAUUUAGAAAUUCUAAACGACCUUGAAUGUUCACAUAAUUGAAACAAAAGUUGUGGUGGUCGACCUGAGCUAUGUGUUUGUUGUUAACAAAUUUUUUAUUUGAAGUCUUUGUGAGUAGAAAUCAUGUAUUUCUACCUGCGGUUUUCCUAAGGAUCCGUCACUAAAAAUCAUAUUUUUAGAGGCGGUUUUUUAAGAAAACCAUCUGUAGAAAUAAUUUGAAAUUAAAAUUUUUAAGCUUUUCAAAUGACCUCGUUUGAAAAAACUGCCAAAAUAAAACUUAUGAAAGUUUGUAGUUGACAAUUUUUUCAUUUGAGAUCAUCUUGUCGUCGAAAACAACAUUUGAAUUUCUCAAAUUUGAAAUUCAAAGUUUGUAAAUGACAUCGGAUGGAGAAACUACCAAUAUAAAUGUUGUAGAUCUUGAAAAGUUAUGAAACUUUGUAGCUGACAACUUUCCCAUUUGAAUCAGUUUAGGGCCUCAAAUAAUCAAUGUAUGCUCAGUUUAGGAUAAUAUGUGGGGAACUAAAGUCUAAUAUAGAGGAGGCUUCACGCGAGGGCGAGGUCUCGGGUUCGAAUCCCGCUGGCCACGUAGCGUGCGAUUUUACGUGAAAAAAUGCGCAACUUCGACGGAGACAGACGAGCGAGGGGCGAUUAGCCCGUGGGCCUUCCCCGGGAUUAAAAUCUUUUUUUCCUACUUUUAAAAGCCGAUUUCGGAUUUUCUAGAAAAAAAGUUACCAAUGGCGGUUGGCUAAGAGAACCGCAUGUGGAAAUUUCUUUCCUACUAGCGGUUGUCUCAGCAAAUCGCGUGUAAAAAUAGAUUUCUACAGGCGGUUCUCACUUAACCACCAGUGCAAAAAUUUAUUUCUACUGCCCCUAGGACGGUAGGGAAAACACCUGUAGAAAUGUGUUUAGAACCUGCUAGUGUUUCCAGCAACGACAGGCUACAGGCACCUGGCAUUCUUCUGAAACUAAUUAAGUUUCAGCCGUUCAAAAGUGAUUGGGAGAUUAGCACAAAAUGUGCAAAAUUAGCAUAGAUGCAUCGAAAGCAAAAUGCUCACUAUCCUAGUGUACCACUACCAUACAUGCAUCUAGGCAUCUAGCAGGUGCUAUGAAAAAGCUCAUCACUGUGUCGACAGAAAAAAAUUAUCUAGCCUGCAACCCAAUGUUACUGAUAGAGAUACCGGUGUCAGAUUUCAGCUCAAAAUACUAGUUUACCAUCGGAUAUGAAUACACAUGUCAUCACAAUUUCGCAAGAUCAGGACACCAACCACAGAGCUAGAGAGCAAAAAUUUUGCAAGAUUUGAACAUAAACCACAGAGCUACAUAGCAAAUCACCUGCGUUGCAAGAGGUGGGCAGGUCCUUCUGCAGAUCUGUCAACUCUUUAAGGAUUCUCUUUGGCGCCAUUAAUCAAACCCUACAUAAAAUCCCCAAAAUCCACUGGUCAAAUCUAACCCAGGGGCCGUGCUAAUCGAAUCGAGGGAGGGGGGACCAAGGGUCGCACGUACCGGUCCACUACCUUGAGCCCAUUGAGCUGACCAGGUGACGGUCUCGAUGGAGCCGUGCGCGGCUUUGCCGCUCACGCGUGCCGGCGAGACGCUCCACUGUGGCGCCAAAGGGGCUGGGCAGGGGCCUUGCCGGUGAGCUGAAUAAACAGGGGAUGGAGUGAGGAGUGCAGGGCUAGGGUUUUCAACUACCAGGGUGUCUUUUAUACCUGUUCACUUUGGCCAGGCGAAUCAUGACCGUCCAUUCUGAUCGGACGACUAGCAUGGCUCGUAAAUCAGUCUUAGUCAUUUAGUGGGCUGUGCAAUGCGUUAAGCCCUUAAACAGCCCAUGCGCCUGCACGCUGUGCUUUUGGCCGCUUCGGUCUUAAGGCCGGAAAAUAUUUUAUUUCUAGUAUUAUGUUUUUGCUUUAUUUAAUUCUAAUAAAUUUCAUUGCUCCCUACACAAUUUUGAUAUGAGGGAGAAUAGCUAAGUAGUGGUCUAGUAUCUUCAAAAUGUUUCAAAGUGAUUUGCUAUUUAAUUAAUUUCGACAGAGCCAAUAUAAAUGGUUCACUGUGCCAUUUCAUGGACACUAACUAUAACUUAUAUGUUUUCAUAGCUCUUGUGCAUUUCAUCGUCGUGUGCUCUUGAAACUUUUCUCAACCUCAUAGGUACCAAAUGUUAAGGAGACACACAAAGUUUCAAAUUUUGUCCUUUUCUUUUUUAAUUAUUUUGGCUGAAUUUUUGAAAAAUCAUAAAAUGGAAAAUGCAUGUAAAAUAUUUGACUUGGUCAAACUUUGAAAAAAUAAAACACUAAAUGACCUCAAAUAAUUUUUUUAAUAUUUACAAAAUAAAACUCAUCAAGGUCUAAACUUUUUGUAAUUGUCCACUUUUCAUUUGGCAAAGUUUGAACCAUUUAAAUUUUGAAUUUUGAAAUUUUGACACCUCGAGACCAGUUUUUGAAACCCUAGAUAAUCUCAUCUCGAAAAGUCAUGAAUACCAAGAUUGGUCCACUCAUCAAGAUCUACGUUUAAUACAUAGGUCAUUUUUGCAUUUGACAAAGUGUUACGAAAGUGUAUUUCUAAAUCCAUAGGUCUCACAUAUAGUUCCAUAAAGUCUAUGUGAUAUUCAAAACUUUGUGACUCCUGUUUACUAACACUUUCUCAAAUGUAAAAAUAAACUAUGUAAUAAAUGUAGAUCUUGAUGAGUUGUACAACCUUAGUAUUCAAAAGUUUUUCAUUUCAGGUCAUUUAGUGUCUCAUUUGACCAUUUUUUCCCAAAACACUUAUUCCUACGUUCACCAACAAAAUGUAAAUCGAAUCAUGGUCCCACACAUCGACAUGCUGGCGUAGUGGUAAGGCGGAUUGUUUUCUAUCCUCAGGUUUUGAGUUCAAUGCCCACCGUCGGCAUUUAUUUUUACUAUUUCGAAUUUACUUGAUCCUGGAUGAACUCGAACAAAACAACGUUUGUCACAUCAAAAUUGCUAAUGCAAUUGUAAGGCUUCUGUUUUGGACACCCAAGCACUGGGUUCGAUACCCUUGGAUUGCACUUUUGUUUCCCUAUCUUUUUAUUUACCAAUUUUUUUAUUGACCAAUUUACAGAAGGCUAUGUUGGGCUGGUAAACAAUUAAAAAUAAAGUGCACAUUUAGUCAUGUAGCACUCUAAUGGUAAGACAUGUUUCUACUAUCCACAUAAGUGCAAUCUUUUUGUUCCUAUAUGGAUAAUAUUUUUAGUUUUGUCAUAUAUGCUUGUUACAAAGUUGUUAAAAAAAUAUACAUGUAAUAAAGUAACAUAAUUAUUUUGUUCAAAUAAUUUAAUAGAUUGUGUUUACUACUUUUGCAAUCACAUUUUCUAUUUUUCUUUGCACCAAAUAUUAGUAGCAAGCUUAGAGUAUGAUGAAUUCAAAAUUCAUAUACUGUGAUGAUCCUAAUUAAAUCGUCACCAAUUAGUGGGCUAGGAAUAUCUAGUGAGCUCAUCCUUGAUGAAAAAUGAAUAUCGUCACGAAUUGCGGCUCUCAGUGGUUGUUAGUAAUGAUUUGUAAAUCUGUCACUGAGAAAUUGUCACAGAUUAACAGGUUCCUUGUAGUGUAUACUUUUGUUCCAUCCAAUUAUAAUAAAAUGUUUUGGCUAUGAUUAAAUUAUUUUGGACCAUGUUAAGUUUGGUACUUUCAAAAUAGGUAUUGUGAUUCCUUGGGUUUGGUCGUUUGGCAUGUUGGGGUUUGGGCCCAAACCGUGGCGAAUCUGGCUAGCUAGGACUUCAAGAUCUUCUCUCAAGAGUCCUAGCGGAGGGGUGGCGCCAUGGGCUUGUUGCCCACUGGUGAAACCUCAUGAUGUGGAGGAAGCUCACUAUAGCAGUCAACGGGCUAGGGUACCAAAGUCGAGGACCUGAGUUGGAGCAAAGGUGUCAGUCAUGAUUGAGAACACGUUGGAGAAGUUGACACCUCUAUCUAGGGUGGUGCCGCUUGCUCCUACGAUGAGGCAAGUGGCUCUGACCACCAUAGAGCCAGAAUCACACUUGAUGCUGCCCCUACUAGGCACACUAGCUAUCGUGGGGUUGGAAACAUGCGAUAUUGUUGUUCAAGUUGGUGUCAGAGUAUGGGUCUCUAGUGGCUCAAGUGGAAUCAAGAAUAUAGGAAUCACAUAGAGAUGACGUUACGAUUUAUCCUAGUUUGGGCCAAUUUGGCCCUUACAUACAGUAGUUGAUGAUCUAUAUACUCAAAAGCACUCAAUAUCGGGGGGCUACAACAAAGUGUAAAGAGAGGUUUGGUAGGGGUUAGCUUCAUACUAAUCCAAAGGUUGCCUCGCUGCUGGUGGAGCCUUCCUCUUAGAGAGGAGUAAUACAAUGGGACACGGUGGAGGAGCCCUCAGUGCCCCUCCCUAGGUUGCCUUCCUCUUGGUGUUGAGCGGAGGUGGAUGGAAUGGUGUGCUUAUUGAUUGAUUGGGAUCGCCUUUCCCCUGGGUCUGACGUUGUCCCUUAUAUAAUGAGAUAAGUUGGGUACAUGGUGGUUUGGGGGAACAAGUCUAUGGUCUAGGUGCACUAGAGUCCAGGAGGGUCUUGCAACGUUGCACCACGGAUCGUGGUAGUGUUGUGGAGCUGAAGAAGACUUAGGCAUCAUUUAGCUGCUCUAUUCUGAUAGGUGGACCAUAUGGAGUCUUCCUUAUGGUGAAGGAGGUCAGCUCUAGGGGUUAACAUGAGGGCUAGAAGCCUAAGCCCCUAGAGGCUUAGGGAAAGCCUUUUCUUCUUGUGUCACACCCGAGCAUGACACUGUUAGGGGAGCAGUUGGCAAGGCCACACCUUAGGAGUGGUGUUGGGUAGCUUCUGAGCAUCGGUAGUUUGGGGCUUCCAUUCUUGUGCUUGGGCCUUGGCUAGCAUCAUGAGCCAAGCAAAAGCAAAGGGCUAAGCUUAGAGAUGUCAUAGAGCAAGAGACCAAGGCUCGAGUGAGCCGCUACGCCCUAAGAGGAGGUUAUGACCAAGUCAGGCUUGGUUGAGUCUCUUUGCUAGAGCUUGUGAACAAGUGUGCCCGAUGGGCAUAGCCCCAAGCUCUCGAGCCAUAUUGGAGUUGUUGGUUGGGGGUCUUUUUCAGUCAGCAACCAUUGGACCCUAGGCUUAACAUAACCAUACAAUAGGAUGUUGUUACCUAAGAGCUUCCUCAUGGAAGCUUGGCACCACCAAUAGCACCAACUCAAUGGCAGCAAUCAUUGUAUCUUGUAGCAGUGAAUAAUGUCUGUUGUUUACCCAUGGCAUGGCAGUAGAGGCACGCACCUAGGAAGCCAAUUCAUCUCAUAGGCUAGCCAUCUCUACUAGCAGCCUAGUGAACCCCUUGUUGGCCAAUCAUAUGUAAAGCCACCUCAGCUUGGGCGUCAACUAGCUACCCCUGCAUGACUGAAAGGAACAAGGAUGCAAAGCUCAUAACAAUAAGACAAGGACAACUAGAAACAAGAGAUAGGGAAGAUGAAGUUUCACAGAGCCCUAGCUGUGGCCGCCUCCUCAUCUAUGAUGUUGAGCGUCGUGUAUACUACCAAGAGGCAUGCCCUCAUCCACUUGACCUACCGACAUUCAUCAUGGAGGGCUUGGCUAGCCACGUCUAACAACUAUGUGAUGGUGUGGAUGUCAUGACCACCAUCAUCAAACUCCUCAUCAUUAGCAAAGGAGGGAGAGCCCGAUGACAAAGCUGCCCACACUGUAAUGGUUGUGAUGACAAUGAGGCAUCCCUGGCUACCAUAUAGCUUGUCAUUAAGUCCUACAUGGUACAUUAUCUGACAAAUGGGCUUGGGUUACUCACACCACCCAUAUAUGCGACCAUAUCUAAGCUAUUGGCUCAGGAACGGUCAAGGAGGAGGCCCAUGAGGGCUGAGGCAGUCGAUCAAUGUAAAGACCAAGGCUAGCCUAGAUUAUCCAAUAUAUGCUUAUCUCGACAGUAGCUAGGAUUAAUCUAUGGCACAUUCCAUGUAACAAACUAGGAAUAAUCCAAUCUAUUAGCCUGAUCACCCUCAUUGUAACCCUACCCCUCUAGCUAUAUAAAGGAGAGCAUGGAACUUGCGAUUAGGAUCCAUCUCAUCUCAUUCCAAUUUACUACGUAUGUAGUUAGGAGCAACAACCCCUAUAAUCGAGCAUAUGAAUAAAAGAAGAGCAACAACACCACUGGAGUAGGGUUUUACGCACACCGUUGCCUGAACUAGUAUAAAUCCUUGUGUCUCAUGCACUACCAUCUAAUUCCGUCUACAUGAUCACAUUGCUAGGCAUUGUCAGAGCUAAUCCAUCCGACAUAAAGAUACCCCAAUUAUGACCACUGAGUCAUAUGAUGAGACAACCGAAAAGCCUCUUUUCACUGCUAGUUCAAUGGCCACUACAACUUAUCGGCCUGGGAAUCAGCAGCAAAAUAGUUUGGCCACCUGUUUUGUAAUAUAUGUGGAGAUAAGGGUGCAUUGACCAUUUCUAAUGUAUGUCCCUCAGUUGUCACAUGGUGGGGGAUAGGGUGUGCAUGCCGACAAUGUAUAGGAUGGUGCAUCGAUCGCAUGUGGAGGCUAGCAUGGAGGACGGUGAUAUGGUAGCACUAGGAACUCACCCUCGUCUUUAGCAACCUUGGGCCUCACGCCCCUCUCAAGGAACAAAACUGCCUUCGAAACAAGUGCAAACAAGAAUGCAGGGAUAACUUGAAUCCACUAUAACACAACAUAGCUUUGUCAAAACUUUUUGUUGUCGGUGAAAGUAACCUUUGCCGACAUAUAAUCUCUUGAGAAAGGUUUUGCUGACAGUUUACAAACAGUCAUGGUAGAAGCCAUCGGCAAAGAUUUUGCCAACAGUUAAAGGAGUCAUCGACACUUUUUGUGUAGCCAAAUGGUGUACCUACACCGAUAGUUAGGACUUUCUCCGAUAAUUAAUCUUUUGCCUACAGUUUGAACCUACACCGACAGUUAGGACCUUUCCUGACACUUUGUAUGUUGGUGAAUCCAUUUACAAGGUCCUUUGUAAACUAAAGCUUGUCCAUCAACAAAACUGUUGGCAAAAUUGUAUUGUACAUAAUAGGUAUAAAUACACUUUGAAUUAAAAUAUCAAAUCUUCCAUAGAUACACCAACUUGAUAAUCAUAGUACAUAGAGCCAUACAUAUAUAGGUCCAAUGAUCAUACAUAGCAAGUCAAUACAUAUAUAGGUCCAAUGAUCAUACAUAGCAGGUAAGUGAUGAUCAUACUACAUACAACCAUACAUAUAGAUGUCCAGAAUGUAGAUUAGUCACUAGCAGGCAUAUAUAUAGACACAUACUAAGUCUUAUACUAACUAGUUAUGGCUAAAGCUAAGAGAUCGAUUAGAAUUACAUCACAUGUUUCUAUAAGGACUUGUUUGGACCACCACAAAAUAAUACCAUGACCUUAGAUGAGUCACAAAUAGUUGAUAUUCCUCAGGUCAUCAGCCAAGCUGAAAACGAAUUCCUAACGGCUUCUUUUACGGAAAAGGAGAUUCGAGAUGAAGUUUUUGCUAUGGAACACAAUAAAGCACCCGGGCCAGAUUGCUUCCCGGCUGAGUUUUAUCAAAAGUUUUGGGAUGUCAUCAAAGUGGACCUGAUGCAAAUGUUCCAUGAUCUUCACUCAGGAACCUUGCCGCUUUUUAGCCUCAACUUUGGUGUCAUAAGUCUAAUUCCGAAGGUCCAAGAAGCUAAUAGAAUUCAAUAGUAUCGACCAAUUUGCUUACUAAAUGUUAGCUUCAAAAUUUUUACUAGAGCGGCAACCAUUAGAAUUAACUCAAUAGCAGAUCAUAUAGUUGGUUCAACUCAAACGGCCUUUAUGCAAGGACACAACAUCCUCGAGGGAGUCGUCAUUUUGCAUGAGACAAUUCAUGAGUUGCAUUAUAAAAAAAGUGGAAUUAUUUUUAAAAUAGAUUUCAAAAAGGCUUAUGACAAAGUUAGAUGGCCUUUCUUACUACAAACUUUGCGGCUGAAAGGUUUCUCUCCUAAGUGGAUCUCUUGGGUGCAAGCAUUUAUAUCAGGUGGAAGUGUGGCAAUCAAUAUUAAUGAUGAGGUCGGACAUUAUUUUCAAACGAAAAAAUGCCUUCGACAGGGGGAUCCACUAUCCCCCAUUGUAUUUAACAUUGUAGCUGAUAUGCUAGCUAUACUAAUUAAAAGAGCCCAAGGAGAUAAUCAGAUAAGUGGAAUACUGCCACAUCUAGUUGAUGAAGGUUUAUCUAUUCUACAAUAUGCUGAGGAUACAUUACUCUUUAUGGACCAUGACAUCGAAAAGGCUCGCAAUAUGAAGUUAUUACUUUGUGCAUUCGAGCAACUUUCUGGGCUUACAAUAAACUUCCAUAAGAGUGAAAUAUUCUGCUUUGGAGCAGCACAAGAAUCUUUUGUCCCAAUAUACCGAGAUUUUUUGUUGUAAUCAAGGAGCUUUUCCAAUGAGGUAUUUGGGCAUACCUAUACAUUAUAGAAGGCUCUCAAAUGCAGAUUGGAAAAGAGUAGAAGAACGUUUUGAAAAAAGACUUAGCAGCUGGAAAGGAAAGCAUUUGUCAACUGGUGGGCGCUUGACACUGAUUAACUCGGUGCUUAGCAGCUUACCAAUGUAUAUGAUGUCCUUUUUUGCGAUCCCAAAAGGAGUUGUAAAGAAACUAGACUACUUCAGGUCAAGAUUUUUUUUGGCAAAGUGAUGAACAAAAACGAAAAUACAGAUUAGCCAAAUGGGACAUAUUAUGUCAACCCAAAAACCAAGGUGGACUUGGAAUUCACAAUUUAGACAUCAAGAACACGGCCCUUCUGUAAGUGGCUCUUCAAAUUGCGCACAACUGAGGGUACUUGGCAACAAAUGCUACGUAAAAAAUAUUUAGGAUCUAAGUCACUUUCUCAAGUUCAAUGGAAGAAUGGAGAUUCACAUUUUUGGGCCAGUUCUGAUGAAGGUUAAACGAGAUUUCCUACGUUUUGGGACCUUCAUAAUUCAGGAUGGAUCACAAGUAAGAUUCUGGGAAGACAGGUGGUUAGGACAGUCAACUCUGCGUCAACAAUAUCCUUGUCUUUAUAACAUAGCCCGGCAUAAACAGGUUACUGUAGCAGAAGUGCUAAGCACGUCUCCACCUACUCUAUCCUGGCGAAGAGAUCUAAUUGGACACAAAUUAGUGGCUUGGAACAAAUUACUUCCACGCAUCACGAAUAUUCUGUUAAGCCAGCAAGAUGAAUUUCGCUGGAACUUGCAUCCUAAUGGACAGUUCUCAGUUAAAUCUCAUUACCUAGCAAUGUUCCAUAAUGAUGUUCCUAAUAUUAAUAAAGGCUUGUGGAAACUUAAAGCUCCUUUGAAGAUCAAGAUAUUUCUAUGGUAUCUACGUACAGGCGUAGUGUUAACCAAAGACAACUUAGUUAAACGUAAUUGGCAUGGCAGCAAACAGUGUUGUUUUUGUCACAAAGAUGAGACAAUUAAACACCUGUUUUUUGAAUGUCGUUUUGCUCGUGUUGUCUGGUCUGUUAUCCAAGCGGCUUCAGGCUUGUCUAAACCGCAUAGUGUCUCAAACAUGUUUGGUUCUUGGCUCUGCGGUCUAAGUAAAUAACUGAAAUCGCUAACCUUGCUAGGAGCAGCAGCUACAUGUUGGUCUCUUUGGUUAUGUAGAAAUGACCUGGUUUUUGAAAAGAAACAUACUUGUUUUCCCUUACAGGUUAUCUACUCGAUUAUACAUUGGCUGCGUACAUGGGCUGUCCUGCAAAAGCCAACUUCACAAGAUUUGGUUGUAGCGGCAUCUCAACAAUUGGUGCAAGUGGCCAAGGAGUUUUUUACCCGGGCACAUGGGUGGCAGUCUAGUCUUCGGAUUGAGUGUUAUUAGUGUGUCUUUAUGUUUUAAGUUUUUUUUAUAAGGCUGUGUGUACCUUUGCUAUACAGAGGCUGGAAGUGUUUCAAGGUUUUUGUAUCAUCUCGAUGUAACGAUCUUGAAAUUAAUGAAGCUUUCUUUAUCGAAAAUAAAGCUAAGAGAACGAUAGAUCAUGACUUGGACAAUAAGUGACAUUCAAAAUUUCCAUUGGUCUUUGGCCUACAUGAUAGUAGCCUAGUAGGUGCAAACAAAAGAACAGAACUGCAAUUCAUGUCUUCCUGCAGCACUUCUCGGACACUCAUUUCGAAUCCAAAGUACUUGAAUACCAACUUGGUGCACAUAUGGCUGCUUCCACCCAAGAGAACAUGUAACGGCUCGCUGGUCGAAGCUCAAAAGGUUGCCCAGUCCAAAAUACUUGCAACACCAUACAACUUAAGUACCUAACAAGAAAAAAAGGCGAAAUAUAAGUGAAUUGUGCUCUGUAUCAUUAAUUCUUGCUUUGUUAUUGGGUGGAAAUAGGGAAACGAUAUUAAUGUAUAGUGGACAGCUAUGCUAUAAACUAUUUAUUGAUAUAGAGCCAUUAUAUAAUUCCAUUCAAUCUAGUUAGCAAUGACGUGUCAACUAGAAGCAACAAGCUAGGUACCAACAGCUUAAACAGCAGCUGUAGCAACCUAUUACUAUCUUUGAACUGAUCAGGAUGUAUAUAGCAGCCAACCAAAUUUAUAAAACCUCAUAGUUUUUCAAGAAAUUCUUCAACAUAUAUAUUAUAAUCAAAUUUAUAAAGCAGCCAGCCAACACAGCCUCAUUGAUUUCCCAAAUUUCAACCAGUUCGGAUCACAUAUACAAAUCAAAAUGUUCAAGUGCAUACCUUCAAGCUGUGAUGUGUCCUUCCUAUGCCACCACAUUUUAAGAGCUGAGGUGACUUCUUGUCAUCCUUCAUCUAGUAUAAAACAAAUAUAUUACUAACCAGCAAAAUAUAAUGAUCAUUUCUUAAAGAUAGAGAGGUUAGGCCAUUAUUACUGUCAUGGGGCCAUGCAAUACAUCUCCCAUGAGCCUCUAGAAUGGUGGUGACCCCUUCAUAUGGACGAGGCAGUACAGUGUUCCUCAUUAACACAUGGUUCACAACCACCUCACACUACUGCAUGCCAAGAGCAGUACCCCCAACAAUAGCCCUUGGGUUUUGUGUUUGAACGGUAGCCUUUGCCAUAGGGACAUCAUAGGGCCUUACUACAUUAUAUAGUAUCACAUCUCAAGGACACUUAGUGUCUCAGCUAUUUCAGCCUCUAGGUUUUGCAUAUCACUGAUAUGAAUAGUGGGUGAGUAGAUAUUCUUGAAGAAAUUUCUCACAUGAAGUGCUGCACUGACUCUUUCUGUCAAUUUAUUCGACCAGCGAUGGGAAGCAAGCCCUAUAACAAUAUGUGGUUGUCAUGGCUCUUUAAUCCAAUUAACUUCUUCUCCCUAACUUGCACAUUACGGCGCAUAUCAGAAGCAUAACCAUCUGGAAACUUCACUUCCUUCAAUACUUGAAACGCUUCCCUACCAUCAGGACUCAUUGUAAACUGUGCUGGAGGUAAAUAGAAGUAAUCUUCUACACUAACAAGAUGAAGAUCACUUGUAAUGCCAAGUUCCUAGAUGUCGAAGCGAGCAUUUAAGUUAUCCUUGGAUUUUCCAUCAGUGUCCAAAAGUGUGUCAAUAAUAUUCUGACACACAUUCUUUUCUAUGGUCUUUCCAAUAUGGCAACUUAAACCAAAUGGAUUUUCCUUUCCAGGCAGUUGAUGGUUCAUCUGUAGUUGGAUUGCACUGAUGCUUGGUUGGCUUCUUGGUUAUUGGGUCCUUUCCCAAGGUUGGGCAGAUAUUGGCUGUCAGCUCCAAUAUUUCCUCUCCACUAAGAGGUCUAAGUGCUCGCCUAAAUUCUAUGGUAUUAUCAAAAAAAAUCUGCAUCAAACCAAAAUUUGUGUUUGGCAUCUAAGAAUCUGAUAUGGCCCAUGUAGACACACUUGCCUCCCUUUUUCAAUUGGAAAGAACAUGUAUCUAAGUGGCAUUCAUGACAAGCAACUUUGCUAGAAGUGACACAUGCUAGCAAAUAACCUAGACUGUGCAAACUAUGGCAGCACGCAGUUGGAAGUUUUCACGCUUAGGAGCAUCAUAUGUUCUUACACCAACAACAAACAUUUCUAUCAUAUCAACAACCAGUGGCUCAAGAAAGACAUCCAUAUCACCACAAGGUGCCUUAGGUCUAGGGAUCAACAAGGAUAAGAUCAAAUUUGAUGGCUUCAUCCACUUCCAAGGUGGAAGGUUGUUUGGGAUCAGAAUAACAGGCCAAAUACUAUAAGUUGAUUUCAUUGUCCUAAAAGGAUUAAAGCCAUCACUAGCUACAGCUAGUGUAAGAUUUAGACUCUCCAAGGAAAAUACAGGAUGCUUAGAGUCAAAAUCCUUCUAGAAAGGAGCAUUAGCAGGAUGCCUCAGCAGACCAUCAUUUGUGCACCCUUCAUUGUGCCGCCUUGUGUCACUUGCUGUUUUUGAGCACAUAAAGUACCAUUGCAGUCUUUUCUUUAUAGGAAAGUAACGUAGAACUUUCCUAGGAACCCUAUGCACACGUUUUCCAUAGGACUACUCUUUUCUAAUUUCCAUCCUGAGGUUUUACAUUUUAGACAAACAUCUUUUGUCGCAUGGUCUUUCCAAAACAGUAUGCAGUCAUUCUCACAUGCAUGCAUGAAUUUUCAUGUACCCAGGUCCUACACCUUUUACCAUUUUUUUAGCUGCACUAAAGUUUUUAGGAAAUGGAGUGCCAAUUAGUACCUAGGCUGAUCCAUCCAUGUUUUAUCCAUGAUGCACCUUUUACAAAAUGGAAAUGGAGUGCCAAUUAAUGAAAUAUAUACACAUCUGUUCUCAUUUCAGAUUGGGUUGUUCAACAAAAAAAAGAUCUUGCCAAAAAAUUGUCCAAAUUAAGUCAAUUUCAACACACUUGAUGCUAAAAAAAUCAUCUCACCACACAAUCAACAGGAACUAUAGGAAAAAUUUAGUCCAGAUCUAAGAAACCAAAAUCAUAACAAUACAGAACACACAAUCUGCAGAGUUGAUAAGAAAAGGAGAGCAUAUCAAUCAAGCAAUGACAGUAGAAGAGCCGAUGAAGACUAAAAGGCCAACUUGUUCUUGCACCCUAUAGGAUAAUAUUGCCAACGAUAAUUAAUCACAAGGCAGUACAAAUAAGUUAAAAACCUGAGUGCAAACAAACUUACUUAAAAGCUACAAGGGGUUACAACUUGUGUAGAAAGAACAACCAAAGAGUUGAGUCCUUUAGCUCUUCCUUAUUGGAUAUUUUGCAACAUGCACAAGAAAGAAAGAAAUAAUGAGAACUGAUCUAUUUGGAAUGAGGAGACAUUUAUGCAUUUCAAUAAUUCCAAGGUUAACUUAUACUUCCACUUGUAGCUUAAAUUUCAAUUGAUUCCCUUUUCUCACACCUUUUAUACAGAACAAACACAGCAUGUUUUUUCGCAUAAAGGACAAAAGAAAAGUGACUAAAUUCCCAUCAUGUGAACUUUGCCUCUGUUGAUGCGAAACUGAUCUGCAAACACAAAGGGCUAAUACCCGAUUCGAACGUUAAGGCGUGCCAGCCGAUUUGACCUUGCUAUCGGCAAAGGUAAUAACUCGAAUACUUUAGUCCUGACAACAGCGAUGCGCCCGGAUGUCACGGCUAAGAGGUACUCACGCGGAACUUGAGAACACGCCGAGCUUAAGUCGACGAAUUCCUAAGAACUCGUAAUAAAAGGAAAAAAGUAUGACGAAGUCGUCGAAAAGUAAAUGCUGGAAUAUGAGUAAAAACGUGUGUUUGAUUGAUUUCUUGAUAUCUUAUUACAAGGUCCUAGGGUUUAUAUUUAUACCCUGUUCAAAGAGCUACGACCAGACACGAUUAGAAUUCGAAUUCCAAAUUACACGGAAUCCAUGUACAAAACGAUGCAAAUAACUAAGGAAACAAUAAAACUAUCCUUCGUGACAAACUGAAACUCCUCCACAUGACAACUGGCAGCUUCCGGACUCCUCCUUCGCGUCAUCGGCAAUCCCCUUGCCAUGGUCAUCGGCAGACCCUUUUACCUGGUCAUCGGCACCAUAUUACUGCCUGUGGACUUAGUCACAUUCAACCUCUCCCUCAUCGGCAACCAUCCUCACCAGCAACCCGCAUCGUACUGCCACCCUAUCCUGCCAUCCUGGACACGUGCCCAAAAAAUGGUGUCAACACAUGCAUCCCAGUUUCGGAGUAUAAAACUAUUAAUGCUCCGAAAUUCUCUGCAGUAAUGAUGUCUCCUCCGCAAUUAAUGCUCCUAAUCUGGUAACCGACAACCUCAAUCUGGGCAAUUCUGAUCCUAAUCCUCCGCAGAUUCCUCGAAAUCCCCAACUUCCUAAACGGGCAUCUUUCUUGGUCGUACAUCGGCAACAAUACUGUUACAAAGAUCUGCCGAUGCUCUGACCGGGAUAUUCGCAAAAACGGUUACCUCCCCUCUAUCCGCCCAUCGGCAAGAUGACCGUUAUAGAAUAUCGCCGAUGGACCGACCAGGAGAUCGCGCACAGUAAAAUAUCUUUAGAUAAUGACCGCUUCCUGUCAAAUCACCUGCACAACCCCUGGAUUACCGUGCGAACAGUUACCAUAUCCACCUGAGUACCCUCGGGCUUCUCGGAUGCGGCAAAGAGAUAAGUCGGAUUUGCCCUUGCCCAUCUUGUCCUAUAAAUAGUUCCUUCUUGGGUACUCCUCCUCCAUUACACCAUUCUACUAUCCAACUUUUCUUUUCCAGCGGCGGCGCCAUUUACAACCCUCAAGAUCUCCGGCAAGCACUCCUCUUCAUCAACUCCGGUGCCCUCCAGCGUCCUCUUCACGACAAGAUGGCUGUUGGCUUCGUCGUCCCUGAGGUCAGACAUCCAUCUCAUCUGCUGUACCUUUUUCUUGCAUUCCUGUUCAUCUGCGAUUCAUCUUACCGAAUAUUUUUCUUUUCCUUUUUCUUUGUAUUUUUAUUCCCCAAAACACUAGGAGUUGUCCAACAAAAUUGUCAUCCCUACCGAUCAACCACACCUUCAGUGCCUCGGCCCUCUAGGGGAUCCAGAUCCAACCGACCUUAUCAAUGCAGAAACCAACAGGAUUCCCUUUAGAGCUGAAAACUUUGCUUUAGAUCUAUGGAAAGACACCUUUCGCUCUUGGCCCAGCCCUACCGUAGGGUGGAAAGAUUGGUUCUUGGGGGUCAGCAAUUCUUAUGAAGUUCAAUGGGGUGAGAGGAAGUUAGCUCAAUGCAUUAGACUAUCCAUUGCCGAUAUGCACAGGAACGAGUCAUUGCUGAUAGCUGCAUCUUACUUUUGGUCAGACACUCUCAACGCUUUUGUUUUUGGCCACGGCCCUGCUUCUCCUACCCUUGCCGAUGUAGCCAUGCUUACUGGGCUAGAUAUAUCUUCUGCCGAUAGCACCCACUUUUUUGAUACUGCCCCCAGUGCCAAAGUGGAGACUCGCGCUAUCGGCGGUUGGUCAGGGUACAUCCAGAAGUACCGCGGGAGAGGGCAUGUCACCAUAAAGGAGCAAACCACCUUUCUGAACAUGUGGCUAGACAAGUUUGUAUUCUGUGGUCGAUCGGCAGGACCGACUUCUGUCUAUCUAUCGGCAGCAGAAAGACUGGCUAGCGGCGGCCAAUUUCCUCUCGGCCGAUAUUUGCUUGGCGCUGUUUACCACCUUCUUCAUCAGGUAGCCCAGAAACUCCUGCUUGGCCAAUCCAUCGGCAACUUGGGAGGCCCAUGGUGGUUUAUUAAUAUGUGGCUCAAUCUGCACCUGUAUAAGCGCCUUGAUUUCAACUUAUUCUCACAGCACUUCCCAAGAGAUAUAGCCGAGAAUCAUGUGUUGGGUGAAGAGGAAUCGGCAACACGUGCCCCCUUGAACUUUGGCGAGGCAGUUAUAGUCUUACCCGGUUUAGGGAACAAUUCGGAUCAGAUUGGCCGAUUCUUCGAGACUCUGUAUGAGGGUCUGGCCAGAGAUGAACGACCAUGGCUGGCUUAUGACGACCCAGACAGCAUGCUCCCUCUGACCUUCAAUCCAUUUGAUGAAGCUCUCGACAGGGAAAAUGAGGUGAUGAUGGCAAUCGUGACUCCCAGAGCCAUACCAGUGAAUUUCUUUGGUAGCACGAAAACUUCUCCCCAAACCUAUGAAUUUUAUAAUCCAUCGGCAUUAGCUCGCCAGCUAGCUUUCGGCCAAUUGCCGAUUGCACUUCCUUAUGCCGAUGUAAUAAAGCCCAGAGAACCCAUCGCCAACCUCCUCGAGUGGACUCGAGUAGCCCAGCUACCACCAAAUGCCGAUACAGAUGUAGAUCUGUCAGAAUGGGUUCCAGCCGCCUUUAUUACUCAGGCCUACAAGCUAUGGUGGGCAGAAUGGAAGGAGAGUCUAUUCUGCAGAUCGGCCCUCUCAUACCGCGGCAUGAUCGACCCCGACUACGAAGUUCCUGACGGCACUGUAAGUAUUUUAAACCGAUGUCUCAUUUUCCAAUACCAUUCCCAUCGGUAAUUCACCCCUGUAUUCCUUUUGCAGAUUGACAACACCCCCCCAUCGGUUAGCAGGAGUGGCAAGCCGAUCGACUUAUUCCCAUCAGGCCCGAUCUCCUCAAUCGGCCAUAAUGCUCCCACUCUGGCUUCCAUCGUGCACCGGGGUGCGCGCCUCAAGAAAGUUACUACCAGGAAAACUCAGACAUCACCAACGGUAACUGCUUCCACUCUGGCGCAAGCUUUCAAGGCAAUCUGUUAAAACCUUUUUCAUUUAUGCUGAUUAUCUUUGUAUCGGCUAUCUGUGCUCAUAAACUCCUUUUUGUUGUUGCAGCAAACUGGUGCAUCGGCAAAAGCCAAACGCCAAGGUGCCGAUGCCCCCCAGUCUAGCCAGCCAAAGAGGAAAGGCAUCCAAGGUGCUAAGACUGGAACAAAGCGCCAGAAAGUGGCAACUCCUCCUCCUCCUCCGAUGUCCCCAAUCCCGGUGGAAUCUUCCCCUUCUCCUCCAGAAGUCCAGGCACAGCAAGCACCAUCUCCUCAACCAAUACAGGAAGCACCACAGAUGGAAGAACCCCAGCAAGAAGAACCACAAACGGCAGGUACAUUAGCUGACGUAGGUGAACAAACAACUGGCCCGGCAGGUCCAGUUAUAUCAUCGGCGGUUUCCCCGACUCAGGCAGCUGUUCUCUCUCCCCCAGGUAACAUAUCUCAACAAUACUUCCGCCGACAAACUUAUUCUCAUUUAGUCUCAUAAUCCUUCCUGUCUUCUUUCAGGCGAUAUCAUUCCAUCGGCAACAUUUGCCGAUCAACCCAUAGCUCCAUCGGCAUCUUUGAGUCAAAGGCAAGAAAUCGCCUUGAAGCAAGUAAGUCAUCCAAUUUUCCACCAGUAUCGUCUGCCGAAGUUUUGACCAUAAAACUGACUUAUUUCAUCUUCAUUUUCAGGAACAAGAUUCUCCCAACAGCUUAUUCUCCUUCGCCAUUGAUAUCUUCGAAGAAGAAGGCGAGGAAGCAAGCUCCUCUCGGGCAGUUGGAACUGUAUCGGCAGAAACCAGAGCUAAACUGGAAGAGCUAUCGGCCAUACUUCAUCAAGACACAACUCAACUGGUCAAUGAUUCUGACCCAGCCAAAGCCCUGUUCAAGACUCUUAGAGGCCAAAUUCCUGCCGAUGCUGAGGAAACACUCUUCCACGCUGCACACCUAGAAAGCCGCCAGCUACAGUACCAGAGAGCUACUCGACGCCUUGCCGAUAGAGCUGCUCAAAUCCAGCUUUCUGAGGAGAUGAUGAAAGAAAAACUCUUAGCCGAUGAGAAACAUAAGAACAUCGGCACCUUAAAGUCCUCAGGUGAUGCACUGAAGCAGAAAGUGUUUGAUCUAUCGGCAAAAAGAGAAGCUCUACUGGCCGAACUCAAGCAAGUAGAGGACGCUCUGUCCCAAGCCCAGCAAGAAGAGAGUCAACUGCCGGAGACCAUCAAGCACCUUGAACAAGAACGAAACGUCCAUGGUCGCAAAGCGCUGCAACUGAAGAGGAAGCUGAAGCCGAUCGAAGGUUCUGCCGAUGAUGAUAUCAAAGAGAUAGAGACAGCCAACCAGAUUCGACUGCGCGCCAUAUCAGCAAUCCAAGCGCCGCUGAACAUCUGAAGCUUUCAUCGGCGACACACCUUUGUUUUUCCGCUUUUAGCUUUUAGUCUAGCCGAUAAGACUGUUAUCGGCAUCUUUUGAAACAUUAAGUCUGCCCCUGAACAUUUAAAUCCAGCCGAUAGGAGUGUUAUCGGCACUUAAACUUUUAUGCGUCAACCCAUAUGCUGGGGUAGUACUUCUUUAAAUAUUUGCCAUUUAAUGCUCUGGGAAAUUCAACUCCUUCGAGAGUUUCUAGAAUAUAGGCAUUACCAGGAGCUGAGUGUCUUAUCCGAUAAGGACCUUCCCAAUUAGGAGACCACUUCCCAAACUUCGAACUCUUAGUCCCAACUGGCAAGAUCAACUUCCAUACCAAAUCCUCAUCGGCAAACUCCUUAGCCUUUACUUUUUUAUCAUACCAUCUAGCAACUCUCUUCUUAUUUUCUUCUAUACUCAUUAAAGCCUUUAACCGAUGCCCUGCUAAAUCAUCUAACUCAUCGGUCAUCAAAGUGGCAUAAUCAUCGGCAGCCAAUUGAUUUUGAAAAGAUAAUCGCCUAGAUCCAGCCUUAAUCUCCCAAGGCAACACUGCAUCAUGUCCAUACACCAAUUGAUAGGGUGACACCUUGGUUGAUCCAUGACAAGCCAUCCGAUAAGACCACAGUGCUUCAUUUAACAAUGUAUGCCACCGCCUAGGAUUUUCUUCAAUCUUUCGUUUAAUAAGCUUGAUAAUUCCUUUGUUAGACGCUUCGGCCUGCCCGUUGGCUUGAGCAUAGUAAGGAGAAGAAUUGAACACUUUAAUUCCCAUACCGAUUGCGAAUUCAUCGAACUCCCCCGACGUGAACAUGGUGCCCUGAUCGGUAGUAAUCGUUUGGGGAAUCCCAAAUCGGUAAAUAAUAUGCUCCUUCACAAAAUCAAUCAUAUUGGCCGAUGUGACUUUCUUCAAAGGAAUAGCUUCGACCCACUUAGUGAAGUAGUCAGUGGCAACUAGAAUGAACUUAUGCCCUUUGCUAGAUGGUGGAUAAAUCUGGCUGAUCAGAUCGAUGGCCCACCCCCGGAACGGCCAAGGUUUUAUUAUAGGAUUCAUAGCCGAUGCGGGUGCUCUCUGGAUAUUACCGAACUUUUGACAACCUUGACAUCCCUUGAAAUAUUUAAAACAAUCUUCAAGUAUGGUUGGCCAAAAAUAUCCAUUCCUUCGAAUCAUCCACUUCAUCUUAAAAGCUGACUGAUGCGCUCCACACACUCCUUCAUGGAUUUCCCCCAUCAAACUUCUGGCUUCAUCAUCACCCAAGCAUCGGAGAAGAAUUCCGUCGAUAGUUCGAUAAUACAAUUCAUUUUCAAGGAACACAUACUUGGUCGCUUGAAACCGAACCCGUCUUUCAACUUUUUUGGAUGGAUCUUCUAGAUAGUCGAUAAUUUCUUUCCUCCAAUCACCGGCACUGACUGCCGAUGUCGCAUUAAUCAUUGGCUGAUAUCCUGAGGCAUGCUGGGCUAACCGAUUAGCGUCUUCAUUAUGCAAUCGGGGAACAUGCUCCAAUCGGAAGUUCUUGAAUUCCUUUAACAGUUGCAUACUUCUCUCGAAAUAGGUUAUGAGAACUUCACUUCGGCAUUCAUAGCUUCCGGCCAAUUGAUUUAUAACCAACAUGGAAUCCCCGAAUACUUCAAUAGCAUCAGCACGAACUUCUCUUAACAACUCCAAUCCCUUGAUCAAAGCUUGAUACUCAGCCUGAUUAUUUGUUGAUGUAGCAUCAAUCGGCAAGGAAAACUCAUACUUCCUCCCCUUGGGAGAAACCAAUACAAUGCCGAUUCCUGCCCCCGGUCACAGGUAGAUCCAUCAAAGAAGAGCGUCCAGGGUGCAAUUUCCAAGGUUUCCACUAGACCGCAAUGCUGAGUCACAAAAUCGGCCAUGAUCUGCCCUUUGACUGCCUUAGCCGAUUCGUAACGCAAAUCGAACUCCGACAGCGCUAAAAUCCAUUUACCGAUCCUACCACUCAUAAUCGGCAUAGAUAGCAUGUAUCGGACUACAUCAUCUUUGCAAACAACAGCACAUUCAGCCGACAACAGGUAAUGUCUCAGCUUAAUACAUGAAAAAUAUAAGCAUAAGCACAGUUUCUCAAUGGCCGAAUACCUGGUUUCAGCAUCAAUCAACCUCCUACUCAGAUAAUAAAUUACUCUCUCUUUCCCUUCAAAUUCUUGAACUAAAGCUGAACCGAUAACCGAUCCAUCGGUAGAUAAAUAUAAUUUGAAGGGUUUCCCUUGUUGAGGUGGAACUAAAACUGGAGGAUUUACUAGAUACUUUUUGAUUUCAUCCAGAACCAACUGCUGUUCUUCUCCCCAAACAAACUCCUGAUCGGCUUUCAAUUUAAGAAGAGGACUGAAAGCACGAAUUCUCCCAGAUAAAUUCGAUAUAAAUCUUCUAAUAAAAUUCACCUUGCCGAUCAAAGAUUGGAGCUCGGUUUUAUUGGUAGGGGCCACUAUUUUAUUGAUGGCAUCAAUAGAUCUUCGACUAAUUUCAAUACCCCUCUGAUGUACCAUGAAACCAAGAAACUGCCCUGCCGAUACGCCAAAUGCACACUUGUUGGGAUUCAUCUUCAAUCCAUGCUUCCUUGUGCACUCCAACACUUUUCGUAAAUCGGCAAGAUGCUUCAAGAAAUCUCCAGACUUGACCACCACAUCAUCAAUAUAAAUUUCUACGAUCUUGCCGAUGAACUCAUGAAAUAUAAAAUUCAUAGCCCUUUGAUAAGUAGCACCAGCAUUCUUUAACCCAAAAGUCAUAACUAUCCAUUCAAAUAGCCCAACAUGACCAGGACACCUGAAUGCAGUUUUUGGAAUAUCCUCCUCUGCCAUGAAUAUUUGAUUGUAACCCGCAUUACCAUCCAUGAAGCUGAUGACCCGAUGGCCAGCCGCAGCAUCAACCAGUAGAUCGGCGACAGGCAUUGGGUAUCCAUCCAUCGGCGUAGCUUUAUUGAGAUUCCUGAAAUCAAUGCACACCCGAAGCUUCCCAUUCUUCUUGUAAACCGGAACAACAUUGGAAAUCCAUUCGGCAUACCGACACUGCCGAAUAAACUUAGCUUCAAUAAGUUUAGUGAUUUCGGCCUUAAUAUCAGGUAGAAUGUUAGGAUUACAUCGGCGGGCUGGUUGCUGAUGUGGCCGAAAUCCAGACUUGAUGGGUAACCGAUGUUCAACAAUUGAUCGGUCUAAACCAGGCAUCUCUGUAUAAUCCCAAGCAAAGCAAUCUUUAUAUUCCUUUAACAAACUAGUUAACUGCCGUUUACACUCAGGAUUUAAUUUAGCACUAAUAAAAGUAGGCCUAGGCUUAUCACCACUACCUAUAUCUACUUCUACCAAAUCAUCGGCCGAUGUGAAUCCCUGGCCUAAUUUUCCAUCAUCGGCGAAUCUAUCCAUUAAAAACCGUCGUCAGAACCGACUGCUUGGAUCGGUGGAAUCUCAUAAUCGGCAACUUUGAGAAAAUCUUUCUCCCAAACUUCUCCUGAAAUGCACCUAGUCUUUUCAUAAGUAUCCGCUUCUGCCGAUGCAAUAACAUAAGAAGAAUCCCCUGGGACGAUCUCAAUCUUAUCACCUACCCACUGAACCAAGCACUGGUGCAUUGUAGAUGGGACACAACAAUUGGCAUGAAUCCAAUCUCUCCCCAAUAAUAAAUUGUAGGCACCUUUUCCGCUGAUCACGAAAAAAGUUGUCGGCAAGGUUUUGCUGCCGAUGGUCAACUCUGCGCAUAUCGCCCCCUUGACUGGAGACACGUUUCCUUCAAAGUCUUUGAGCAUCAUAUCGGUCUUGGUCAAAUCUUGAUCCCCUUUCCCAAGCUUCCGAUAUACUGCAUAUGGCAUAAUGUUAAUAGCAGCUCCACCAUCAACCAGGAUCUUAGUCAUUGGCUGCCCAUCAAACCUUCCUUUGAGGAACAAAGCUUUAAGAUGCUGCCUCUCGUCAUCGGCAGGUUUCUCAAAGAUAGCCGUCAUCGGAUCCAGAGCCAACUGAGCUAUCUGAUCAGAAAAUUCCAGGUCAUCGUCACUGGUUGGUGCAAGAAACUCCAUCGGCAACAUGAAGACCAUGUUGACGCCUGCCGAUAGACCUUCCCUCUUAGUGCCUGACGGCUGCCGACUUCCAGAGUUCUCUCCCUUGUUUAGCUCCUCUUGCCUUUCUCGUUGCAAUCUCCUUUUCUGUGUCUUGGUUAAUCCCUGAGGGCACCAUGGAGGAAGUGGCCUUUGUCUUGCCAUCGGGCGUCGGUUCUCCCUUGACUCCAUACGAUGUGUGUUAGCAUCUCUGCAAAAUAUGAACUCAUCGGGAACCCGCGCAUUAGCCAUCUCCUCGAGCUCUUCCUGGUUCCUGGGAAAAUACUGGACACGGUCACCGAGCCGAUCGCGAACGUUAAGCCUGCCCCCCAACCGUUCAUGAACUGACGCCCUUCCUCUGAUUGGCCCAUUAAAUCGCCGUUCAUCAUCAUGAUAACGCCGAUCGUUCCUAUCGUACCGAUCAUAACCGUUGCAUUCAGGGCAGUUUCUGACAGUAGGGAGCUUGAUAUUUUCCUCCCAACAAUGGAUGAAAAAUGGGCAAUUCCAAUGAUCCCUGUGCCGAUUCCACUCCUGUCGGCGUCUUUCUUCUUCCCGUUGAUAAUCUUCCUGCUGGCGCCGAUACCGAUCUUCCCGUUGUUGCCAUCUCUCUCGAGGCCUUCUAUGAGUUAUGACGAUGCCAGAUCGAGGAAGCCUUCCUGAGCUAGUUCCUUCCUGGACCAAGCCCUUACUUCUUGCAUCGGCAGUAGUAACUUGAUGCUGAGGAUCUACCGAUGCACUCUUCUCAGCUGUCUCCGACGUUAAGACCUUAGCCUUCCCCUUAGCAUCCAACAUGUUUGUCGGGAAAGGAUGUUGGUCUAUCUUCAUCGGCUUCUGGGCUUUAGAACUGUCAAACUUGAUUCUCCCUGACUCUAUAGCCGAUUGCAGCUGCUGUCUGAAUACUUUGCACUCGUUGGUGUCAUGUGAAGUUGCAUUAUGCCACUUGCAAUAUCUCAUCCUCUUCAACUCUUCUGCCGACGGGAUCACGUGGUUAGGUGACAGUUUGAUUUGACCUUCCUGAAGUAGAAAGUCAAAUAUCCUAUCGGCCUUGGCGGUGUCAAAGGCAAACUUCUCUGGUUCUUUCUGCCCAAAAGGACAAGACAUCGGCUUCUUGUUUUUUACCCACUCUGCCAAACCGAUUACUGGUUCCUCGUCGGAAUCUGAGCUUGUUGCUUCGUCAACAAAUGACACUUUCUUAUUCCAUGCCCUCUUAGGCUCGAAAGGCUUGAUGUCUUGAUCAGAUAUCCUCUGCACCAAAUGACUUAAACUUUCGAACUCUUGAGAUGCAUACUUAUCCCUGAUAUGUGGCAACAAACCCUGGAAAGCCAAAUCGGCUAGCUGCCGAUCAUCCAGAACCAGGCUAUAGCAUUUAUUCUUGACCUCUCGUAUCCUCUGCACAAAUCCCUCAACCGACUCAUCAUUACGUUGCCUUAACUUAACCAAGUCGGUGAUCUUCUUCUCAUGAACCCCCGAGAAGAAGUAUCUGUGGAAUUGCUUCUCUAGAUCGGCCCAAGUAAUUACUGAGUUGGGAGGUAAUGACAUGAACCAAGUAAAGGCCGAUCCAGACAGUGAUGACGAAAAUAGACGGACCCUUAAUUCGUCCCUGUUACCAGCCUCUCCACAUUGAAUAAUGAACCUGUUGACAUGCUCCAUAGUUGACGUGUCGUCCUGUCCGGAAAACUUUGUAAAAUCUGGUACCUUGUACCGAUGUGGAAGCGGGAUCAAAUCAUACGCUGGAGGAUACGGUGUCCGAUAAGAAUAAGUGUUGACUUUGGGUUUUAUCCCAAAUUGUUCCCUCAUUACUUCAGCAAUCUUAUCGGCCCAAUAAGCAUCGGCAUCUUGCCGAUGAGGCGGCUGCGGAUCUGGCACUUGGUGGCGAACCUCCACGUGUCUGUUUGGGACGUGACCUGUAUGGAACAUCGUAUUGGUCACCUGUCCUCCAAUCUGCGGACUACCAAACUGCUGUCCACCGAUUGGCUGUCCUCCGAGUUGCUGUCCAAAAUUUAUUGGCUGGUUGGGAAUUCCCUGACCUUGGAACCCGGGAUAAACCUGCCCUUGCUGGAACCCCGUAGUCUGAUAACCCUGCUGGGGCGAUUGUGGAAAGGCUUGCUGUCCAAGCCAUCCAUUAUUAGCGUUCAUCGGCAUGGGUGCUGCCGAUGAUUGGUAAUUGGGUACCGUCGUUGAAUUGACAUACCCCGACUGGGCCAUAGGCCUCUGUUGCAUCAGCAUUGACUCUGCCGAUGCGUUGGGCAUCUGGAACAUUGAAUCUUGAGGAUUUCCAGUGUGAGGCCUUGCAGUAGUAGUUGUGGUAUACCGAGGACUCUGGUUCACCGGCACAUUGGAAGGUGCCGAUGUCAUAGGAGUUUUGCCCCUCAUGUCAGUUAUCUGUGAUGUUCCCGGCGUCAACUCUGGAGGCAUACCAUAACCCCACCAGUUGGGAGGAAGAGUUAACCCCGACAUUGCCGAUGCCAACAUAUCUGUUGUCAGUUUAUGCUGCCCAACUGAAAUUUGUGGGUUGGUUGCCAUCGGCAUAGAUAGUGCACCAGUAGUCCCCAAUGUACUUGGAGGGACGGCAGACUGUGCACUUGCACUCGUCAAGGCAGCCGAUGGAGCCGUGACCUCUGGUGCCGUGGGUUGAUGAUGGGAAGGGCCCACAUAAUCCGGCGGGAUUUGUCCUUCCUUGAAGGUUCUUGCCACGGCGUUGAAAACCGUGUUAGACAGUACACCAGCUUGGUUAAUCAGCGCUCGAUUGAUGGCAUUGUCAACCAUAUCUUGAAGCUUGCCAGGAUUGGCGUCGAAGGUGACCUGCCGUGGUGCCGGCAGUGCAUCUUUCUGGACCACUUCGCCGCUCCUGUUUAUGCUGAAAGACUUCAGGCAUUGCUGCUUGAACUCUUCCAUGGCUUGGGCAAUAGCUUGCUUCUGCUCAUCCUUGAGGUUGGCUUCCGUCACGGGGAUGACGUUGUCUUGAUCGAGGUCAGAGAUCGACAUGUUGAUCUUGAUCUUGAAUCGGUCCCACUGGGCGUGCCAAAAGAUGUGUUGAUGCGAAACUGAUCUGCAAACACAAAGGGCUAAUACCCGAUUCGAACGUUAAGGCGUGCCAGCCGAUUUGACCUUGCUAUCGGCAAAGGUAAUAACUCGAAUACUUUAGUCCUGACAACAGCGAUGCGCCCGGAUGUCACGGCUAAGAGGUACUCACGCGGAACUUGAGAACACGCCGAGCUUAAGUCGACGAAUUCCUAAGAACUCGUAAUAAAAGGAAAAAAGUAUGACGAAGUCGUCGAAAAGUAAAUGCUGGAAUAUGAGUAAAAACGUGUGUUUGAUUGAUUUCUUGAUAUCUUAUUACAAGGUCCUAGGGUUUAUAUUUAUACCCUGUUCAAAGAGCUACGACCAGACACGAUUAGAAUUCGAAUUCCAAAUUACACGGAAUCCAUGUACAAAACGAUGCAAAUAACUAAGGAAACAAUAAAACUAUCCUUCGUGACAAACUGAAACUCCUCCACAUGACAACUGGCAGCUUCCGGACUCCUCCUUCGCGUCAUCGGCAAUCCCCUUGCCAUGGUCAUCGGCAGACCCUUUUACCUGGUCAUCGGCACCAUAUUACUGCCUGUGGACUUAGUCACAUUCAACCUCUCCCUCAUCGGCAACCAUCCUCACCAGCAACCCGCAUCGUACUGCCACCCUAUCCUGCCAUCCUGGACACGUGCCCAAAAAAUGGUGUCAACAGCCUCCAUACUAGAAAUAAGUUGCAGAUCCACACAAGUAAACUUACAUGCAAGACAAUGGAUUGUGGUGUGUACAAGAUCUUGAAUCUGGGUGGUUCCUCUGCAAAAUCAACUAAGGCAUUAAACAUCGCAUUCACAUCUAAGGCCAGCUGAAUAUGUUCCUUCUCCAAAGAGGGGAAGAGAUGGUGGAUCUGGACUGAAAGAAAGUUUAGCAAGAGAAGUAACCUAAACCUUGAAUCUUUCGGUCCUUUCUCACAUUUGCCUAGUCAUUUCAGCAACCAAGAUUAAAAGAGUACAACAAAAUUAGUUGUGCCCAAACCUUAAUACACUAUGGAAUGGGAUGAUCGGGAAGGGAAAACGAAGCUGACGCACCUGGAUGCGGAGGGGGUGGGGAUGCGACGGUUGCAGCCCUCUUGCUUGCCAAUGGUGGGAUGGGGCCAUGGCCGUGUCCGUCGAUGGCCUUGGGCGGCGCCGUGGCAGGGAAAUUAGGGGCAGCUGGCGGUUGGGGGCUGGGGCGGCGCUGGGCGGUGCGGAGCUGGGGUGGCACUGGGGCAGUGGGGAGCUUGGGCGACAAUGGGGUUGGAUCUGCGACCUAGCGGCAGGGUGAUUUUUUUAGAGGAGGCAGUGGGGAGUCUGGGUCUGGACGGUGGGUGGAUGGAAUGAAGGCUCGUUUCCUAUUUUAGUGGGAUGAAUAUUUCCCUCCCACCGUGUGUUCUGUUUUGGCGCGCUAUGGUUUUUUUCACUUCUAUCACCUGUGCAGGAGCCCAUUCUAUCUCCCGCGCGCAUAUAUAUUUGGGAACCCCUGUGUCCACCCUUCGACGACACAUCGAGUGUGGUUUCAUUAGGCUACGACGACAGUUUUCAUGUUUGCAAACUUUUGCUGAUAGUUUUUUCAUUGGGAGGAGAGCCUUAUAUGAUACUACAGUUUAGGGGGCGCUAAAAGAUGACACAAUUGCCAACACGUAGCGUGUUGUUACAACCUAUAAUUUGCCAACACAUGAGUGUUGGGACAAGUGGGUGAUGGUGUAGUGAUGGUUUUGAAAGUUUAGGGGUAAGAAAUCUCGGUUUUGAGUUUGAAGUGGAAAAUCAGACUACAUAGAUAGGUUUGCAUGGUCCUGUACCUUUUUAAAUAUGUUUGGGAGGUUGGGUAAGCCGAUUCCAUACAUGAAGCUUGCUGAUAGUCUAAAAGGAAGCGCUGCCAACAAAACUCGACAUAACUUUCAAGUUUGAUUAGGUUUGUCAUGUUAGGUAGCCUAGGAUAAAGUGUGUGUGUCCAAACUUGAAUCGUUUCUGAAUUUACCUCAACACCAAAAUCUUCAGUCAUUCCAAAAAAAAGCUUCAAAGGUUCCUCUCACGUCUUCUUGUUCUUUCAUGCUUUAACAUAACUAUUGUGGAAGAAGUUUUGUCUCCUGGUUUUUCUUUAGUUCUUGUUGCGAUGUCAAGCUAGAGUCAUUGGAGAAUAAAUUCUCCCUAUUUACAAUCACUGCUAGGGAAGUAGUGACAUUGACAUCAGCACCCGUGUGUCCCCUCCAUGAACACUGAUUUUGUCACGAGAGAAAAAUCGAAUAAGUGAAUGGGUGCAGCGACCACCUUAAACUUUUAACCUCUUAUUUCAUUGGAUGCAUCCACAGUCCUUAAUGGAAAAGGUAUGCAUCAUAUGCAAUAUCAAGAUUUAAGAUGUGUUGCAUUUAUUUGUUUAUUGCCAGAAGAUAUCAAAUCAUACAGGCAAGAUAGUUCAACAUUAAUAUAUGAGGAUACAUAUAUCUCCGUUGUGGAUACCUAUAUAUCUAUAUUGUGGAUACACAUAUUUGACAUUAAGAAGUGCCGCUGCAUGUAUCCCCAUAUAUAUAUCUCUAUUUUAUAGAUAAUAAUAUUUAUAUCUAUUGUGGAAUCAAAUAUUAUAUAUUAAGAUGUGCCGCUGCAUGUAUACAUAUCUCAACUCUUAAGAUGUGUGCCGCUGCUUGUAUCCCCAAAUAUAUCUCUUUUUUUUAGAUAGUGAUAUAUAUCUCUGUUGUGGAUACAUAUAUCAACCUAUGUGUCACUGCAUGUAUAUAAACCGGACUGAGCAAGGCAGUAUGCAUAGUAGAAUACAAGUUCAACAAAUAUACUAAUACUGUUCUUCUCCACUUGUCACUCGCUAGCAUGACAAAAAUGAGGACAGAGUGCGCCGCAGCGCUCUGCAUUGUCCUGGUGAUUAUGUCUUCAACCCUCUCAUCCUGUAAGUAUAUAAGUCCUUUCAUACUUGCAAUAAUUCCACUCAUGCAUGGUUUAUAAAGUCAGCUUUCGAUGUAUGCAGGUGCGAUUAUAGGUAUCCCAUUACCUGCAUGCACUGCGGAGCUUUGCCAAACAAAAUGCUUGGACUUUGCCAAUAAUCAUAACGUAGUGGUAAAGAGCUCCCACUGUGCGAAGGCGAAUUUUUGUAAUUGCGAGGUAGCUCCCAAACAGCGUCUGCCCCUUACCAGAGAAGUCAAGGGACUAGCUGAUGCAGAGGACGAUAAUUGAUCUUUUAUGUGAAUAUAAUAUAUGACACCAAUGGUGGAUAGGGUCGUUAAAUGAUGGCAGACAAUACCAAACUGCUAGCUCUUGCAUGUAAUUUAUCCAUGACCUGUUUCCUUCUAGGUCUAAUAAAAUAAUUGCUCACCUUUUUUAUACGAUUUGCUCAACCAAUGUAUCCACCAUUUUGGUUACAACAAAAUUACUUCAGGCCAUACUGACUUCUGUACUUCCAAAUAGACCUGGUCAUUGGUCGAGUUAUGAAAAACCCGACCAAGAAAUUCUUAGUGCGCCACGUCGGUCAACCCGACUAUUGCACACGACGUUGCCUGACACCCAAUGACCCAUUGGCAGUUUGUUCUUCCUAGU